GAUGAAGAACGCAGCAAAAUGCGAUAAGUAAUGUGAAUUGCAGAAUUCAGUGAAUCAUCGAAUCUUUGAACGCACAUUGCGCCCGCCAGUAUUCUGGCGGGCAUGCCUGUUCGAGCGUCAUUUCAACCCUCAAGCUCAGCUUGGUGUUGGGACUCGCGGUAACCCGCGUUCCCCAAAUCGAUUGGCGGUCACGUCAAGCUUCCAUAGCGUAGUAAUCAUACACCUCGUUACUGGUAAUCGUCGCGGCCACGCCGUAAAACCCCAACUUCUGAAUGUUGACCUCGGAUCAGGUAGGAAUACCCGCUGAACUUAAGCAUAUCAAUAAGCGGAGGA
rnacentral:misc_RNA from 1 species